rnacentral:lncRNA from 1 species
UUUAUCGAAGGCAAAAUCCACGUCUAUAAAACGCCAGCGACUCGCGCAGUGAAGAGCAUAUCACACUCGUAUCUCGCGCCGUUAACAUACUUCCUGCUCUCCCUCCUUCGGUGACACAUAUUACAGUACUUCUUGCUGAGUGAACUAUUGGUGUAACCAGUAUGGUGCACUAUGACAUCUUCUACAUCAGGAGAGGUGAGAAUGCCCGGGAGCGGCUCCGAGCGCCAAGCAGCGCCAGCAGCAGCAGCCACAGAAGCUCCUCGUCGACCGCCAGCAGCAGCAACACGAGCAAGAGCAAAAAAGGGGAAAAGCAGAGGAAACAUGAACUCAUGAUGACCAACAGCCUGUUAAGCUACUUGGCAGUUGACAAAUAGCUGAUGUUUUCCCUUCGACUUGAAUUGUAUAUUGCACGUCUGAUGUUGUAAAUAUUGAUUAUCAUUUCACAAAUACUUCAUUGAGACUCAUAAUCAGCCAUGAUCUGUUUUAUCACAUUUCGUCUUUAUUAUGAUGUGUUCCAUAUAUGUUAACAGUAUGUUUUAUACCAUUAAGUAACACUUGAAUGUUCUUUAUGCCAUAUUUUGUAUGAAUAAAGAGAAAUGACAAAU